GUGCUCACUUUGGCAGCACAUAUACGAAAAUUGGACUGUUCAGAGAAGAUUAGCAUGGCCCCUACGCAAGGAUGACAUGCAAAUUUGUGAAGCAUUCCAUAUUUUU
rnacentral:snRNA from 1 species